GAGGAAAUGCAGAUUGAUGGGUUUUGUCCGAUGAUAUUGCUUCAGACUAAAAUUAGCAACUUAAUCAGCAGCCGGAAAAGGAGUAACUUCGCUGAUCACGUGUGUUCUUAUGUAAUAUGAUGAUAAGCACGUUUUCUAAGUUUUCCUCACGUGCUUUUCAUGUUUUUUUUUUUUUUUUGUUUUGUUUUUCUGUCAUCACAAGCUCAUGAUUUUGGGUCGGGAUGGAUCCGAAGCCUGUCCCCGGAACUCUGGGCACAAAGCGGAUACGCACCUUUUAUGGGGUGCUAGUCCAUUACAGGUCCAUACUUGUAAAUGCAAUGACUAGACAGGGACAGGAGGAUGAUGUUAUCACCAGCUGAGCUGAAGAAGAAGAAUAAAAAAGAAGAGCUGUAAACACUUAAUCAUUGGCACCCUGUCCAGGGUGUACCCCGCCUUGUGCCCCAUGCUCCCUGGGAUAGGCUCCAGGUUUCCCCAUGUCCCUGAAAUGGAUAAGCGGUAUAGAAGAUGGAUGGAUGGAUGGAUGGAUGGUUCUCUACAGCAUGUGCCUAAGACUUUUCCACAGUACUGUAUAUCUAGAGCUCAUAUGCUUGUAAUUAGCUGAUAUUCUAGCAGGCUUUAACUAGCUAUCAAAUAAAGUGCAAUGUUAUGUUUGGUUUUAUUUGACACCUAUUUUUGUACACUGUCCCAAACAAUACGUAAUGGAAGUCUUAUUCACAACAGUUACUUGUCAAAAACAACUAGGUCACGUGAGCAUUUAUGAUUCAGCCAGUAAGGGGUGAGCGGGCAGGUCAAACUGGUUAAGCAUUUACCCAGAUUAUUUCAUUAUAGGACAUAAGCUGACUUUCUUUUGUUUUUAUAAUUGUGUGUCGUCAGAGGCAGCUGUAACAUACGUC
ensembl:lncRNA